GCGAAAGCGGCUCUCUGGUCUGUAACUGACACUGAGGCUNGAAAGCGUGGGGAGCGAACAGGAUUAGAUNCCCUGGUAGUCCACGCCGUAAACGAUGAGUGCUAGGUGUUAGGUCCUUUCCGGGACUUAGUGCCGCAGCUAACGCAUUAAGCACUCCGCCUGGGGAGUACGACCGCAAGGUUGAAACUCAAAGGAAUUGACGGGGGCCCGCACAAGCGGUGGAGCAUGUGGUUUAAUUCGAAGCAACGCGAAGAACCUUACCAGGUCUUGACAUCCCGAUGCCCGCUCUAGAGAUAGAGCUUUACUUCGGUACAUCGGUGACAGGUGGUGCAUGGUUGUCGUCAGCUCGUGUCGUGAGAUGUUGGGUUAAGUCCCGCAACGAGCGCAACCCUUAUUGUUAGUUGCCAUCAUUCAGUUGGGCACUCUAGCGAGACUGCCGGUAAUAAACCGGAGGAAGGUGGGGAUGACGUCAAGUCAUCAUGCCCCUUAUGACCUGGGCUACACACGUGCUACAAUGGCUGGUACAACGAGUCGCAAGCCGGUGACGGCAGGCUAAUCUCUGAAAGCCAGUCUCAGUUCGGAUUGUAGGCUGCAACUCGCCUACAUGAAGUCGGAAUCGCUAGUAAUCGCGGAUCAGCACGCCGCGGUGAAUACGUUCCCGGGCCUUGUACACACCGCCCGUCACACCACGAGAGUUUGUAACACCCGAAGUCGGUGAGGUAACCGUAAGGAGCCANCCGCCUAAG
rnacentral:rRNA from 1 species